UCAGAAUGUAAGCACUGAAAGAAUUUCAGGAAUCCGAUGAUAUAAAUUGUAUUUUUAGAGCUGAGAAUGAGUUGAGCUAGUGACACAGUGCAGCGCCUAAAGAUAGAUCUCUUUAGUUUUCCCAUGAUUUAUCACAGGCGAGUUCACAGCAGGUUAAAAUAAUUGAAUGCUUUGAUAGCAUGCAUAUUGGCACGGUUUUAUGAGCAGUCAUUCAUAACAUAUUUGUCACGAAGCAUAGCUUCCAGGAUGGAACCCUGAUCCGCAGGCAGUGUUUUAGCCUCCACGACGCAGUGGAAUUAACUCCUCUGUGGAGCCUGGCCACGUCGUCACGGUGUCCGGCCCCCAGCUAGAGCUGCGGGGAAAAGGAUCAAGGGAAUGACUGGUCCGCCAAACAAACCCGGCAGCAGCUCAUCUGAAGUCAGCGUUGUAGCCUGGAAAAGGCUGGAUGAGCGUUUGCUCACCACUGGACAUAAAAAAUAAUCUGCGUGUUUGAAAAGGAUGUGCUGAACUCGUGACCUGUAAUAAACGGUUAGUACUUUGUCUUUAAAAUGCAGAAGGAAAAGGAGCUUCUGGGCUCUGGCGGAUCUGAAUGUAGCACCAUUUUUCACAAGUUGUUUUCGCUUUAGCAACUUUACGUGGCUCUCUGUCAAUCGCCAGUCCUCACCCUCGACAGUCACUGAAUUUUUUUUUAAAAUGGUCUAUUUGGUUCCUUCCUGGGGUUUGACUGAGUUUUAAGUUUGAGGUGCUGAGUGGCAUGUUUUAGAUGUGCUUGCCCCCGGGAGCUGAUGAACUUUGCCUUCCACGUUGACAAACCACGAAAGACAGAAGAACUGGGAGAGGCAAGAGUUACUGUCUGGCAAGCCCAGAGUCUGCCUCUGCCUGGAGCGGCGUUUUGGAUACAACUCAUUAUUUGUGGAAAUGGUGUGUUCCACAGGCAAAAAUAGCUUUUUAAAAAAAGAACCAAUCUGUACCCUCCUGAAGUCAUGUCAAAAUGGAUGCAGGGUUUCUCAUGGAAAGGAGAACCAUUUUUAUUAUGGCAUGAAGGGUCCUCGUGUACUUGGCCUUGCCACAUGAAGCCUAGUCUAGGUGGCUUUAGGGUCCAGAACAAGCGAAUAGAGGCUUAAUGAUGAGGUAAUGAGAGCAGAGGUCACGGGUGGGAAACAAGUUUUCUAUUUGCAGCCACACAGCCAUGGGAAAGUCUCACCCAGAGACCAUCAACCAACGAAAAAAAAAAAAAACCAUUGAAAACGGAGAAGAAUGUGGGAACUUUCCCUUACCUGAUCUUAAGCACAGAGGGACACCGGACU